UACGAAGGGGGCUAGCGUUGCUCGGAAUCACUGGGCGUAAAGCGCACGUAGGCGGAUUGCUAAGUCAGGGGUGAAAUCCUGGAGCUCAACUCCAGAACUGCCUUUGAUACUGUCGAUCUAGAGUAUGGAAGAGGUGAGUGGAAUUCCGAGUGUAGAGGUGAAAUUCGUAGAUAUUCGGAGGAACACCAGUGGCGAAGGCGGCUCACUGGUCCAUUACUGACGCUGAGGUGCGAAAGCGUGGGGGAGCAAACAGG
rnacentral:rRNA from 1 species